CUUCAAUCAUACAUUGCAAAUUGAAGAAAACAGCCUUAAGCAUGAUAUACCUUGCCAUUCCAAAAGCAGAAGGAAUAAGAAGAAAAAAAUUCCACUGAUGAAUGGUGAAGAAGUUGACAUGGAUCUUUCUGCAAUGGACGCCGACUCCCCGCUGCUGUGGAUCCGGAUCGACCCGGACAUGGCGGUGCUGCGGCGGGCGGACUCGGAGCAGGCGGACUUCAUGUGGCAGUACCAGCUCCGCUACGAGCGGGACGUGGUGGCGCAGCAGGAGGCCAUCGCGGCCCUGGAGCGCUUCCCCACCC